GACGAACGCUGGCGGCGUGCUUAACACAUGCAAGUCGAACGGUAAGGCCCUUCGGGGUACACGAGUGGCGAACGGGUGAGUAACACGUGGGUGAUCUGCCCUGCACUUCGGGAUAAGCCUGGGAAACUGGGUCUAAUACCGGAUAGGACUCCUGGCUUCAUGGUUGGGGGUGGAAAGCUUUUGCGGUGUGGGAUGGGCCCGCGGCCUAUCAGCUUGUUGGUGGGGUAAUGGCCUACCAAGGCGACGACGGGUAGCCGGCCUGAGAGGGUGACCGGUCACACUGGGACUGAGAUACUGCCCAGACUCCUACGGGAGGCAGCAGUGGGGAAUAUUGCACAAUGGGCGCAAGCCUGAUGCAGCGACGCCGCGUGAGGGAUGACGGCCUUCGGGUUGUAAGCCUCUUUCAGCUAUGACGAAGCGCAAGUGACGGUAGUAGCAGAAGAAGGACCGGCCAACUACGUGCCAGCAGCCGCAGUAA
rnacentral:rRNA from 1 species